rnacentral:misc_RNA from 1 species
AUAUAUCAACCUCUUCAACUUUUGUUGAGUGUUGGAUGUGGGGGUUUUUUGCUGGCCUCUCUGAGUUCAGCUCCCCUGAAAUACAUUAGCGGAACAAUUUGUUCAUUGGCGUGAUAAUCUAUCUAUGCUAUUGACAUGAAGCAGUUCAGCUUAUAACAGUCCAUUGAAUUGGACAAAUUUUUAUCUAUUA